rnacentral:rRNA from 1 species
UCAGGACGAACGCUGGCGGCGUGCUUAACACAUGCAAGUCGAGCGGAAAGGCCCUUCGGGGUACUCGAGCGGCGAACGGGUGAGUAACACGUGAGCAACCUGCCCCAGGCUUUGGGAUAACCCCGGGAAACCGGGGCUAAUACCGAAUAUGACCUUCGGUCGCAUGACUGUUGGUGGAAAGUUUUUCGGCUUGGGAUGGGCUCGCGGCCUAUCAGCUUGUUGGUGGGGUGAUGGCCUACCAAGGCGACGACGGGUAGCCGGCCUGAGAGGGCGACCGGCCACACUGGGACUGAGACACGGCCCAGACUCCUACGGGAGGCAGCAGUGGGGAAUAUUGCACAAUGGGCGGAAGCCUGAUGCAGCGACGCCGCGUGAGGGAUGACGGCCUUCGGGUUGUAAACCUCUUUCAGCAGGGACGAAGCGUAAGUGACGGUACCUGCAGAAGAAGCACCGGCCAACUACGUGCCAGCAGCCGCGGUAAGACGUAGGGUGCGAGCGUUGUCCGGAUUUAUUGGGCGUAAAGAGCUCGUAGGCGGCUUGUCGCGUCGACUGUGAAAACCCGCAGCUCAACUGCGGGCCUGCAGUCGAUACGGGCAGGCUAGAGUUCGGUAGGGGAGACUGGAAUUCCUGGUGUAGCGGUGAAAUGCGCAGAUAUCAGGAGGAACACCGGUGGCGAAGGCGGGUCUCUGGGC